AUUGAACGCUGGCGGAAUGCUUUACACAUGCAAGUCGAACGGCAGCACGGGAGCAAUCCUGGUGGCGAGUGGCGAACGGGUGAGUAAAGUAUCGGAACGUGCCCAGUCGUGGGGGAUAACGUAGCGAAAGUUACGCUAAUACCGCAUACGAUCUAUGGAUGAAAGCGGGGGAUCGCAAGACCUUGCGCGAUUGGAGCGGCCGAUAUCAGAUUAGGUAGUUGGUGGGGUAAAGGCUCACCAAGCCGACGAUCUGUAGCUGGUCUGAGAGGACGACCAGCCACACUGGGACUAAGACACGGCCCAGACUCCUACGGGAGGCAGCAGUGGGGAAUUUUGGACAAUGGGCGAAAGCCUGAUCCAGCCAUGCCGCGUGCAGGAUGAAGGCCUUCGGGUUGUAAACUGCUUUUGUACGGAACGAAAAGGUUUGGCCUAAUAAGCUGAGCUCAUGACGGUACCGUAAGAAUAAGCACCGGUUAACUACGUGCCAGCAGCCGCAGUAA
rnacentral:rRNA from 1 species